AAAAUGCACUUCACAAGAAUUUUAACGAAAAGGCCAUUUCUCCCUCUCCCAUGAGAGAAUUGGCCUUGUCAGCCCCUGCUAACAAGAAACUUCUUUUGCUGUAUGGGGGAAAAAAAAAAAAAAGAAUUUUAA